CUACGGGGGGCAGCAGGCGAGAAAACUUUGCAAUGUGCGAAAGCACGACAAGGUUAAUCCGAGUGGUUUCUGCUAAAGGAACCUUUUGUCGGUCCUAGAAACACCGAUGAAUAAGGGGUGGGCAAGUUCUGGUGUCAGCCGCCGCGGUAAAACCAGCACCUCAAGUGGUCAGGAUGAUUAUUGGGCCUAAAGCAUCCGUAGCCGGCUCUGUAAGUUUUCGGUUAAAUCUGUACGCUCAACGUACAGGCUGCCGGGAAUACUGCAGAGCUAGGGAGUGGGAGAGGUAGACGGUACUCGGUAGGAAGGGGUAAAAUCCUUUGAUCUAUUGAUGACCACCUGUGGCGAAGGCGGUCUACCAGAACACGUCCGACGGUGAGGGAUGAAAGCUGGGGGAGCAAACCGGAUUAGAUACCCGAGUAGUC
rnacentral:rRNA from 1 species